AAUUUGAUGAGACUGAAUACUUAGUUUUUUUUAAUUUCUUUUUUGUGGUGUUGGGGAUCAAAUCCAGGGCCUAAUUAAGCAUAUACUCUAAUUGCUGAGUUAUAUCCCUGGCCCCAAGACUAAAUGUUUCUGGCCCCCUCCUCAUUUUAUAAAUGACACAACUGUGACCAACUCCUGUUUUGUGAGUUUCCAGUGUCUGCUUUCUCAUGACAAACAUCAUUAAUAAUUUUCCUACUGAACUGAGCUGUAACUGAAUUCUUAACACUGUGUACCUGGUAGAAACUAUCAAGCAAGAACUGUUCUGACCUUUGAAACUUAUUUGUUGUCCUUUAUCAUACUCAGUUAAUUAUUUGAGAUUAUUGCAUUUUUCUCUAUCCGUACAUCCCAGACUUCGUUGUGUCUUGUGCAUUUGCGUUUGGUCUUGUUAAUGCCUGAAUUUGUGUUAGGUCAUUUCCUAUAAGAUAAAUGUCAUUUUUAUGAACUACCUAUUGAAUUAAACAACUCUCCACAAAGAAAAGUAACUUAAAAACUGUGUUGCCCUUAGCUAAAAUUUGGAGCAUACUUUACCUAUGGUUUCUGAUUUCUAGGCCCAGAAAAUUGCUGAACAUCGGAGAAAAUAUGAGCGAAAACGUGAAGAGCGAGAGAUCAAAGAAAGAAUAGAAAGAGUUAAGAAGGCUCGAGAAGAACAUGAGAGAGCCCAGAGGGUAAAUUUUUUUAGUUAAGCCUGAGUGGAACAUACUGUAGAUCAUAGUUUUGAGAUAUUAUUCCUACUCCUAGCCACUUUAUUUAAUGCUGGCUGAAGUUCUAUAGAGUGAUGAUAUUACUUUAAAAGGAGUCUCCUUUCAUUGUUUCCAAUGUGUGGGGAUAAUUUUAGUCUUUAAAAUUUUUAAGUUAGCUUAUAUUUAACCAAAGUGUGUUCUUUUUAUGUUUUUCUAAAGUAAAAAAUUUUAGGCUGGGGGUGUAGCUCUAGUUCAGGGGUAGAUCAUUUGUCUACCAUGCACUGGACCCUGAGUUCUAUCCCUAGCACUCCUUGCAAAACUCCCCACCCCCAAUUUUUUAAGUCAGAAAUUUCUCAUAAUCAAAUGAUUAAAAUUUGGUGAUAUUUUUUGUUCGGUUUGUUUGAACAGGAUUUGCCCUUGUUUCUUUUUUCUUUUUCUUUUUUUCUUUUCCUUAUGAAAAAGCUUAUGUGUAAAACACUUGAGACUAUUAAUAUUUAACUCAUUCACACAACUUCAAAAUACAGUUUCAUCAAGAUGAUCUCUACCAACAAUUUUCCUUUAAAGAAGUCUGCAAAUUUCAGAAUGGUUUAAGUUGACAUACUGUACAUGUUAAACUUUGAAAGAAACUACUAAAGUUUUUGCUUUAAACUGGAAAAAAACUAUGGUCAAAAUUGUCUUUUUAAAAAGAACUCUUCAUCCUGCUGUUCCUAAAAUUACACUCAUGUUAACUGCAGAAAAAAUAUUAAAGCAUACAGUAAACAUUACUCUUAGAAUAACUGAACAAAGGCAUUAAGAUGUAUGGCUUUCUGUGUGAUUGUUAUUACUAUCUAUAAAUAAAGUCAUUGCUGUUUGACUGAAAAAGGUUUUUACAAAACUUCACUUCCAAAAUUAACAUUUUUAUUAAAUCAAGUUUUAAAAAAUGUUCACUGUAGAAAAGUCAAC
rnacentral:lncRNA from 1 species